CCAGACUUCAUUUAAGGGUUGCCAGUGGAAGCAAACAUAUCUUGCUGGAGCUCCCCGUGUACCUGAGGCCUUUUGAAGGCACAAACUGGGAUGGUUUGAGGAAGAGGAUGAGCAAGUUCCUUCUGCCUCAUCAUGGCAGCACAAGCCUGUUGACAAGCUACGUGUGUUUCACCUGCUAUUAACUUGCUGCUCGAUGACAAGCGACUGUUUCUUCCAGAGCAAACGAACACUGUCCAGGUUGAAAUCAGCCUGGUUGUGGCCCAUGUCCAAAGCAAUGUUUGUGUUUGUAUGUCUCCGAGUUCGGGGCAGCUGUUGCAAUGUGGCACUGUGGAUUGGAUCUGCAAAGGGAGGCUGCAUGAGGGAAGAGCAGAUUCCACAGCUCCGUGUGUUUCUCGCCAUGUUUCCAUCCUGUCGAACACUCAGAGCCUGCCCUGCACGCAUUUCGGAAGCGAAGGACUUUCCUAAUUACAGUGCGAACAAUCCGAGGUGGGCUCCUGUCUGUCUAACUGUCAGGGAGAAUAAGUCAGCGGUGAGUCAGAAGCAGAGAUGUGGAAAUGAUGCGGGAGAAAGGGAAUAGUCUGUGCUGGGCUUAAUCACAGGGGCCAGGUGCUUUACAUUUCUUCCAACAAAACUCUGUUUGCUGCGGGUGCCUGAGGCUAGCUGAGGCGGGCAGCAUAGCCGGGGCUCAUCAGGCUCACUUGCCUCCUGGGCACUGUCUUUCACUUGGUUGGGCAUUGGCAUCUCUGCACCCAUUGUAUCACACCCACUCCUUGUUCUGCGUGCGCUCCCGGAGCGGCCGAGGUGCACCAUGCAGCCUUCCCUUGGAAGCUGUUUGCUUUAUCAUCAUUACUAUUAUUUUACUAUUCUUUAUUACUAUCAGCAGUAAUGCAAGCCCUUUGCCUAUAGAAAGGAUUUUUUUUUGUUGUUGUUUCUUCUGGAGGGAUCCAGGAAUUCUCCACUUACCUAUGUCGUAUUUAUUACGCCUGGUUAAAGAUCAUUAAAGCCUUUGUUAGCAGAGCUGACUGACAAGAAGAGUGGAUUAAUAUUAGAACACCCUGUCAAAAGUGGUGAAAAGGCUGGAUUGAUUUUAUGGGAAGUUUAGUCAGAGUUGUGUGUAAAGCCCUUGGGGGGUUACACUGCAGUGAAUCAAUCUCCUAUAUUAGCAACUCCCUCUGGGAAUAGUCGACUUCAGUGUUUAUUACAGCCGAGGCUGCAUAUAAUAGUGAUGGCAGCCACUUGCCUCCCUCUCUUCUUUCUCAUAAUUUGCUGCUUGCAAUUGCAGCCACACAGAGGAGCACCUGAGAUAAACAAAGGUGCUGGGCUCUGUGUAGCAGCAGAGCAGUGGGGGGGAUGAGAUGAGUGUCUGCCACCAGCCCUGUCCUGCUGCACCCACCCUGAGCUCUGCCUGAGGACCUGCUGAGAGCUCCUUUGUGGCGGCAGUUUUCAUCCCAGUGCCUGGGUCGCAAGAAGAAUACACACAGGACAAUACCAGCGAGAGCUCCUGCAAACAUCAAUUAACAGAAUCCCACGCCGUGUGGGUAAGGAGGGUUUUGGCAACCCUGGAACAGAGACACGUGGUUGAAAGAGAUGUGACAAGGUGUCUGUGCACUUUGGAUCUAUUUGCAUUCAAUCACCUCUGGAUUUAAAGCAUCACCGGUGCAGCAGGGAUGCUGUGGGCCAGGAGGGGCUGUGCACCCCAAUGCAUGGCUCAUGGCACUGCAGUGAUGGCAUUCCCACAACUGAUGGCUCCCGACCUUUGCCACAUCAGCUGCUUGAUGGAAACCAUCAGCACUUCUUGAAGAGACCAAUGCAGUAGAGGCAGGUCCUGCAGUCUGCUGGUGGUUCCUCCAGCUGUGCCUGCAUCCUUUUGUGCCGUACCCAACAAGCCAGAUAACUUUCAUUCCUCCUCUUCCACUGUCACUUACUUCACUUUUUAUCUGCUCAACAGCAAUUCCUUUCUGCUCCCCCCCAUCCUCUUCUCUCACUAAUGCUCUUCACUUUCAAAUGCUAAUAAUCUGCAGCACUAAAAGGCUUAGAAGUGGUUCUAGAUUGUUUGAUCUUUGGCCUGUGAUCUACUUUCAUCUUCCAGCUUUCAAAUGUUACUUUGGAUUUACUUUAACCUAUUAACACGCUUGGUAUUCACAGGCAUGCACUUUUGGUGUGUUUUGCAUCAGAUCCACCCAAAUUCAAACGAGCAGGGGAAGUUACUCUUCUGGACACCAACUUUUCACAGUCUCUAUUUGCUCACAGGCACAGUGGGGGUUUUCCUCUCCUGUUUCCAUGUUCCCUGGGGAUGCUGAGGAUGAGGAUGUGAUGUUCCCCGUUGUGAGGGGGCAGCGGUGGCCUUGGACCUGCAGCCACCAGCCCAGCACCCAGCAGGGGAUGUGGUGUAGGGGAUCACCCUCCUCCUCUUCCUCCUUUACAGUGGCACCUCUGGAGAGAAUGGCUUUGAAAGCGCUGCUUUUUUUUCAGCAGCUCCUCUGGACUGUCUGGUCCUCAGUCAGUGUUGGAUGUCUGAACAGAGACAUCAGAGCCUUCCUGAAGCUGUUAUAACUUAAUCUGGCAGGCCAGCCUGCUCUGGCACCUCUUGCCAAGAGAGGAAGCCAGAGCACUAGAUGAUUUUCAGACAUUAGUGACUGCCAUAAAUCAGAAAGCAGAAGUUAUCGAGUGCUCUGCUAAUGGACAUUUCCUUCCAGAGUAUCCCCUCUCGGGCUUUGCAGGGGCACAGAGGCUGCUCCCAGUGGGGGAAGCCAAGGGAGCUGUGCCAAGGCUGGGAAACGUGCUGAGGAAAGAGGCAGCAAGGUGAGAACCAGGCCCCAGUUCCAGCCUGACUGCUGCACUGCUGUGGCUGCUGGUGCUGCUGCUCUCUGUGGGGGCCCCCAGCCCCAUAAGCACCAGCCGUGCUUUGAGAGCUGUGCAAAUCCCAAGCCAUCAAAGGGACAGCAUCAUUGGAGGCCAACUUGCAAAUGACUUAAAGUGCAGGAGGGAGAUUUUAGCCAAGCUGAGCGCUGGGCAGGUUUAAACUAUGUGGAAGUAGUUGAUGUUUUGGUGCUGAGAUGGCAGUGCUCUGUGCUGUGCUUCCUGUCUCCUUAGGGCUGACAUGGGAAGGGGCAGAGCCUCGAGCCCUUUGCCUUCAAUGCCGAUUCCCAAUCAAAGCGAUGCAGUCCUCAAGGAGCAGCGAACUGUUUAAUAUUUAAACCCAAACAGCCCAGGCAAAGCUGCUUUUCUUUUUUAUUUAUUCUUUUAAUUAAAUGCCAAUUAGAGAGGGGGGGGAAAAGGCAUUAAACACUUAAAUACACACUACACCCAGGUUGCUCAAAGUUGUUACGACCUAAUUAUCUACUUAAGUGAUCAUUUGAAAUUCCAUAUCAAGCAAUUCAUAAUCUGCCCCAAAACUGAAGGCUCAAUGAGCAUUGUUGGGCAGUGCCUACCCUGUGGUUGCUACCUGUGGGAUUGAAAUUUCCACCUGCACAUCCAUGGGGACUUUGUGCAGAUGGGGCGGGGAAAGAAGUGGUGUUUUCUGCCCGGAGCUGCAACCCAAAGCAAGGUCACUGUCAGGAGUUCUGUGGGUGUUUUUUCCCAUGUCUCCAUGCUUGGAGGUUGCAGUUUCCUUGCUGCAUGGCUCUUCUGGUUCUCCUGGCUUCGAGGUGCUCUCCACCCUGCUGCUCUAUGAACACUGAGGGACAUGGGAUGGUGGGGAUGGUUGGAUAACUUGGUGAUCUUAGAGGUCUUUUCCAGCCUUAAUGAUUCUAUGACAAGCUGGUGCCACCCAUCUCCUGUCACUUCAGCCCGAAAUGAGUUCUGGGGGAGGCAUGAUGGUGAGAUUCCCCACUCACCAAGAAAGGGUUCAGCCCUUCUGUGCACCUUAUUAGGGCUGGAAAAUCUUCUACCGCAUUUCCUUCUGUGGAAAGUGCUGCCCCCUCAAUUAAACCCUGUGCACGUGUCUAUCUGCAUCCAACUGAACCCUGCUCAUCUGCCCCCAGCACCACUCUGUGAGCUCAGGGUUAUGAGGGCAGAUUGGGGAGCCCCAUCCAUAACCCACAACGCCGCCGCGCCUAACGAACAAUGCAUUAAUUAGAGGCAGCAAUUCAACCUCCACCGUAAUCAAUUCCAGCAGUGCCCGCUCUGCCUGCACAUCCGACAGCCUCUUCCACUCCCCUCUGCAAGAUUUAUUAAUUAUCAAUGCUGGCUCCGGCGUGGCAUGCAGAGGAGAGCAGGAGCGAGGAGGUGGUAUCGGCGGCGGAGAUCUGAGAGACGUCUGAAGGGGAUUGGCAUGUGCAGGAGACAGCCUGCCUCCUGGGGACUCGCCCGGUGAUCUUUUUUUCCUCCCUUCCUCCUGCUUUUCUUUUAAUUAGUGGAGUUGGUGCGAUGCUCUGCUUGGACAGCAGGGAGGAGGGUGCGCGGCAGCAGGCAGGGGCUGGUGGGUGCGUGCAGCAUCCCCUCCUCCCUGUAUCCCAUCCCCUCACCCAGGGAAAUGCUUCGUGCCUGGGGCAGGCCCAAACCCAUAGCCCCAGAAGUUGGCUCUGUGCUGACCCUCUCCACCCACCUGUAAACUGCAGCCCUGCCAACUAGUAAGCUCUGGUCUUUCUACCUAUGGAUGAAGCGUGGCGAUUUCCAAGCCUGCCAGCCGAUGCCAGCGGAUGACCUUGUGAUUUUAUUGAUCUCUUCUUUCCCACUGGUGCUGAGGGAGCCGUGUUUCCAAGCCUGCUGGGGGCAGCUGGAGGAGGCGGGUU